rnacentral:piRNA from 2 species
UCCCCAAUGGUGCUGCCUCUGGUUCUCCU